UACAGAGGGUGCAAGCGUUAAUUGGAAUUACUGGGCGUAAAGCGUGCGUAGACGGUUAUUUAAGUCGGGUGUGAAAGCCCCGGGCUCAACCUGGGAAUUGCAUUCGAGACUGAAUAGCUAGGGUACGGUAGAGGGAAGCGGAAUUUCCGGUGUAGCGGUGAAAUGCGUAGAUAUCGGAAGGAACAUCAGUGGCGAAAGCGGCUUCCUGGACCAGUACCGACGUUCAGGCACGAAAGCGUGGGGAGCAAACAGG
rnacentral:rRNA from 1 species